rnacentral:lncRNA from 1 species
CUCACGAUGGAUAGCGGAAAGAGAGGGGGCCAAAACUGAUGUCCUCCAUAAAAUCUGACCGACAGCGGCCUCUAAAUCAACGAAUCGGUGUGUCGCCAUCAUUUUCCAACCGUCGGUCGUCGAUAGCCAUCGAGAAGCAAGAAAAAAAUAUCGGUCAAGACGAGAUCCGACGACCCCCCCUCCAUUUUUUUUGUUUGUUUGGUUAACUAAGCC